rnacentral:tRNA from 1 species
CGUAGGGUAGUAUAAAAAAUACUCUUUGCUUACACCAAAGUACUGGCUACAAACCUCCUAUGAC